rnacentral:rRNA from 1 species
AACGAACGCUGGCGGCAUGCCUAACACAUGCAAGUCGAACGAAGUCUUCGGACUUAGUGGCGCACGGGUGCGUAACGCGUGGGAAUCUGCCCUUGGGUACGGAAUAACUCAGAGAAAUUUGUGCUAAUACCGUAUAAUGUCUUCGGACCAAAGAUUUAUCGCCCAAGGAUGAGCCCGCGUAAGAUUAGCUAGUUGGUGGGGUAAAAGCCUACCAAGGCGACGAUCUUUAGCUGGUCUGAGAGGAUGAUCAGCCACACUGGGACUGAGACACGGCCCAGACUCCUACGGGAGGCAGCAGUGGGGAAUAUUGGACGAUGGGCGAAAGCCUGAUCCAGCAGUGCCGCGUGAGUGAUGAAGGCCCUAGGGUUGUAAAGCUCUUUUACCAGGGAUGAUAAUGACAGUACCUGGAGAAUAAGCUCCGGCUAACUCCGUG